AGCUCAGUUGGCUAGAGCACCUGACUCUUAAUCAGGGUGUCCUCGGUUCGAGCCCGAGA
rnacentral:tRNA from 1 species